rnacentral:rRNA from 1 species
UACGAAGGGGGCUAGCGUUGCUCGGAAUCACUGGGCGUAAAGGGUGCGUAGGCGGGUCUUUAAGUCAGGGUGAAAUCCUGGAGCUCAACUCCAGAACUGCCUUUGAUACUGAGGAUCUUGAGUUCGGGAGAGGUGAGUGGAACUGCGAGUGUAGAGGUGAAAUUCGUAGAUAUUCGCAAGAACACCAGUGGCGAAGGCGGCUCACUGGCCCGAUACUGACGCUGAGGCACGAAAGCGUGGG